GGAACAUCUGUAUUCAAGCUUAGUGGUUUAUUUUAGACAUUGGAGGACACCAAAUUCAAGUAAGCCAAGAUUAAAAGCAUAAGCAAAAAUGGAUGUCCUCCAUGUAAGGAUGUUUGAAGACAUGUCGCCUAAGCGAAGAAGUGUUAUCUGUGGUGUUCAUCACUAUAGCUACCAUGGUUGUUAUUAAGGAAGUUGAUACUUCUCUUUAUCAAAUAAGAAAGCAGAAAAUAUUCUCCAGGUUUGUAUGCACGUUGUGGAUAGCACUUCGUUUGUCAAGGUGUUUGUCGUUGUGCGUUUCUUUUAUUUAUUUUAUUUAUUUACAUUAUAGAAAAAUGGUAAUGAGCCAUGAGCAUACAUAUCUCAGUCAUAAUGACAGUGAAAUGAUUAAACACAGAUUGGUUGUUGCUCUCAGGAUUAGAGGUACACAGUAAAUUGAAGGUAAAGAAUGCACAUAAGAUGAGGCCAAUAAUAAGGGGAUCUCUAUCCCCUCACUAAGCUGCUAAUGGCAUUUGCGACCUGAGGAACUAUGGCUUGCUAGCUUCUAUAGAAUGGAGAACUAGUCCAUUGCAUCGUGAGGCACUAGGCUAAGAAAAGCUAGAACAGGAGCAAUUACAAGUUUCUUUGAAAUUGGUAGCUAGCAUAAGUUCGGGAGACAGGCAAAAAAACCACUUCAUCUGAUUUAUAAAGAUGGCCCUCUUAAGAGGUCUAUUUUUGUUAAAAUGGCCUAGACCACUAAAGCCACGUUGACUUAAAACACUAGCUAAGUCCCAAGCUCAUCCCCUCUCUCUUUCUCUCCCACGUUCAUCAACCACUGCUCUUCCUCUACUCCCUCCCUCUCUUCUCCUCCACACCAAGGCGUCAAGCUUUGAGAUGGAGCGCAACACCUAGUGGGGUUGAGGCACCUCAUCGGAGCCAAUCGGACCAAGGCGUUUAGUGUGGAGGCGGUGGGGGCAGAGUUGCGUCGGAGGAGGAGGCAGGGCCGAGGUGUUCUGUGCGGCAGUGGCGCACCAAAGUGAUCCAAGCGUGGGGAUGGCAGAUGUAGCGAAGUGAGGGAAGUAUGGCAAGGCAGCAGAGGCUCCUACAAGCGAGCUUGCGGACCUAGCAAACUGAAAGCACAUUCGGUGAGUGCAUGGGUUGACGGCAUUGGUUUUCUUGGGAGUGCUCUGGUUGGCUAUGGGGGACUCAGUACGGUGGGAAUGGCAAGCUCAGGAGUGGGGAGCAGGGCUCCUCCGUCCGGCGACGGCGUGAAGUCAACGGUGCGGGGCUUGCAUCCUGCAUGGUGCCGUGGGUUCGGCGAUGUUUUUUGGGGAUUUACAGAGGAGGUCAUGUGCUUGUAUUCACUGUUCUCGAAUAACAGUGACGAUGUGAGACGGGUGUUCUCUAUAAACUCAUUUGGACUGUCUCUGUAAAUCUCUUAUGUGGUAGUGCAAGGUUCUGGGAUUAGACCCUAGUGCACCGAAAUUCAGUGGGAUAAGAUGGAACAGGACCGAGAAAAAAGUACAUUAUUAGACAAAAUAAUUUUGCU